CGGGAGCGCGGGCUGGAGCGGCGGGAGCGGGGCGCUCCUGCUCCGCCGUGCCCGCGCCGCCUGCCGACGCCUGGCGCCGGAGAACCGGGCUCUGUUCGCCACCACAGCGGGCAUGGCUCAGCAGGACUGCUUCACCUGCCUACCUCACCACAUCCUACACCCGCUUUGGGGUCCCGAGCUUUGACGGUGCGCUUGCUUGCGCUGUAGUGGAUGCUAAAUACCGUGACUGCUCUUUCUUAGUGCGAGGGUUCUAAAGGUCUGGUCCUACAGCGAGGCAGCAUCAACAUUUGCACUUCAUACAUUUCUGUCUCUGUAUGCCUUCCUGCCUGCCACUCUGUUUGCCAUGCAAACACAAGUGGCAGAAGUCUCAAGAAUAUUUGAAUUUUUUUCAAACUUGAAAAGUAGUCAACCACGUGAAUGUCCCGCAAAGAGGAAGCUUGCAAUGUAAGCCGGUUUUAAAGCUGACCACCUCUGAGCCACAAACAUAGACUUUCUUGUCACCAGCUCACAGACCUCUUUGUAUCCUAAAAUGAUAGAAUGGUUCGGGUUGGAAGACACUUUAAAGAUCAUCUAGUUUGAAACCCCCUGCUGUUAGCAGGGACACUUUCCUCUACACCAGGUUGCUUAGAGCUCCAUCCAACCUGGCCUUAAACACUUCCAGGGAAUGGACAUCCACAACUUCUCUGGACAAUCUGUUCCAGUGUCUCACUACCCUCACAAUAAAGCAUUUCUUCCUAAUAUAUAACCUG